GGGGUAUAAAAUACGGUACAUAGGACAUUAACUGCGUAUUAAAAGAGGAGGCGUGUAGUUCAACAUCUGAAUAAUAGGCCUAAUCCGUUGUACCAAGCAAGAAAACAAGGAUUCAGAAAAAUGUCUGACAAGAAGGGAUAUCAGGGCACUGGAGACAAGCCAGAUCUUGACAACCAUGGUAACCAAUGUAAUCCUAACAACCCGGAGUACCGAGGAUAUACCUCUGGAUACUCUGGGAAGGGAGACAAGCCUGACCUCGAUCACCAUGGCCAACAGUUGAAUCCGAACAACCCCAAGUAUCAGCCUAAGAAGUAGAGGGCAAUGCUGUACAAUCAUGGAACAGUAGUUUAGCAUCUUGGAUUAGAUUUUUAACCAUUCUUGAUUUGUGUGAAAAUCCCUAGAGAACAUGUGAUUUUUGAACGAAGAGACCAUCUUUCAAAUUCUGUUCUAUAAUCCUUGCAAAUGAACUAAAAACAAGAAGGAAUAAGACAGUCAUGUUGACAUUCUGGUGACCAGACCUUGUGUUAUACAAACAACAGUAUCACAUACAACUGUGAAUAAGGAAAAAAUUCUAUUCAUCCUGACAAUAAGUGACUCUUCAGAAGACACGCACUAGACAAAAUAACUGCAAGUUAUACUCUAAAGCAAUAUUUGCAAAAUUUCCAAUACUUUGUUGUAAUCUUUCUAAUAUUUAAGUCAAAUAUUCCUAAUAUUCAAAUAAAGAUCACAGAGUA